UAGGGAAUCUUCGGCAAUGGACGAAAGUCUGACCGAGCAACGCCGCGUGAGUGAAGAAGGUUUUCGGAUCGUAAAACUCUGUUGUUAGAGAAGAACAAGGACGUUAGUAACUGAACGUCCCCUGACGGUAUCUAACCAGAAAGCCACGGCUAACUACGUGCCAGCAGCCGCGGUAAUACGUAGGUGGCAAGCGUUGUCCGGAUUUAUUGGGCGUAAAGCGAGCGCAGGCAGUUUCUUAAGUCUGAUGUGAAAGCCCCCGGCUCAACCGGGGAGGGUCAUUGGAAACUGGGAGACUUGAGCGCAGAAGAGGAGAGUGGAAUUCCAUGUGGAGCGGUGAAAUGCGUAGAUAUAUGGAGGAACACCAGUGGAGAAGGCGGCUCUCUGGUCUGUAACUGACGCUCAGGUGCGAAAGCGUGGGGAGCAAACAGG
rnacentral:rRNA from 1 species